UUCAUUCAGAGGAGACACACUAUCCCUAGCUGAAGCUGUUUUUGAAUGCAUGGAGAAAUAUAUCUGGCUAUAUUUCAUAACACCCCACCCCAUGCCUACGGAUGGUAUCGCCUAGUAGCUUCAUGUAUAUAUUAAAGAGCACCUUGUGGGAUGUCACAUAACAGCUCCUUUUUUGAGGAGUAGCUACCCCCAAGCACCACCAUCUAGAACCUACCUGAGAGAUAUGGCCAGAACCACUGCAACACAGUGCCUCCGAUUCCAAGCCCCUCCAAGUAUUCUAGAAGGAUACCAUAGUUUAUUAUAUCGAAGACCGCUGAAAAGUCUAGAAGCAGCAACAGUGAAACAAAGCCCUUAUCAGUACUGAGAUGCCGAUCAUCCACUAAAGCAACCAUAGCAGUCUCAACUCAUGUCCUGCUCUGAAGCCGGUUUGAAAUGGGUCAAGGAAGUGUGUGUCAUCCAAGACUGCCUGGAGUUAGAGGGCAAUUGCCUUCUCAAUCACCAUGCCCAAAAAAGGAAGGUUGAAGAGACUUGUUGGAGAGUAAUUCUAGGAAAGGACAGAGUGCAAAGAUCAGGAUGAACUGUUCGGACUAAUGCUAAAACAUCACAUAAACAGCUCCAGAUACCUGAACUGCAACUGCUUUGAUGCUCCUGAGGAAGGAAGUUUCCUAGGAAAUAAAAGUACAUUGAUUACA